GACGAACGCUGGCGGCGUGCUUAACACAUGCAAGUCGAACGGUGAAGCUCCAGCUUGCUGGGGUGGAUCAGUGGCGAACGGGUGAGUAACACGUGAGCAACCUGCCCCUGACUCUGGAAUAAGCGCUGGAAACUGCGUCUAAUACUGGAUACGAGAAGGUGCCGCAUGGGCACUUUCUGGAAAGUUUUGCGGUUGGGGAUGGGCUCGCGGCCUAUCAGCUUGUUGGUGAGGUAAUGGCUCACCAAGGCGACGACGGGUAGCCGGCCUGAGAGGGCGACCGGCCACACUGGGACUGAGACACGGCCCAGACUCCUACGGGAGGCAGCAGUGGGGAAUAUUGCACAAUGGGCGAAAGCCUGAUGCAGCGACGCCGCGUGAGGGAUGACGGCCUUCGGGUUGUAAACCUCUUUCAGCAGGGAAGAAGCGAAAGUGACGGUACCUGCAGAAGAAGCACCGGCUAACUACGUG
rnacentral:rRNA from 1 species